AACAUUUAUUAACCCUCAUUCUAAUCGUUUCUUUUUUUUUUUUUUUAACCAACCGGCCAAACGAGGAUAAUUACCUGAGAAGAUAUUUGCAGAGGGCACAGGAUCUCCACGGUAACUGCAAGUACCUUCGCAACUGUCCACUGGCGUGAGGCCUUCUCCUCUGUUGAUGGACCAGCACAUCUUCGUGGGAACACCAAAGUAGCCCAUGACGGACGUGUAAACCCGGUACCAGCUGGCUAGAACCACCUGCGGCGUAAACACACACAAAUACACACAGUCGGCCCGACCAGUAUGGAUUUUCUUUUUUUUUUGUUGAUGCAGAUUUUAUAUAACAGUUGCGAAAUAA